rnacentral:lncRNA from 1 species
UGGAGUAUAUCUUCUGGAAUGGGUAUGAACCGUCCAAAGUUCAGGUAAUCUACUUACUGCAGAUGGAGUAGUUGCCCUUUUACUCAACUGAAUGAAAUACUCCAUAAUUUAAAUAUCUUGUGCUAAAUAUGCGAUCUCGUUAGAAAUUCUCCAUAAUUUAACCCAACCGAAAGAGUUGAUCGACAUGAAUUUUUCUGGAGUAGUUCGCCAACAGUACAUUGAAUAAAAGUUCAGUUAAGCAAGCAUGAUACUCCUAUUUUUGGAGUAAAAAUUCAGUAAAGAGCUUGGCAUCUCAGUUUGCAUCUAGGAGUACAUCUGAAACUUCCUAUGAGUGUAUAUUCUUUGCUGCAGAGAAUAUAUACUCCUAUCAAACAAGUAAAGAAUAUACUCCUAGUUGGAGUGUUUUGCAACUUGCUAGGAGUACUGGGGUAUCAAUCUAUCUAUAGCAAGUGAUUCAGUUCUCUUCUUUUCCAACCAUAAAUACUGGAGUAUAUAUUCCAGUAUACAGCAAGUAGUCCAAGUAUAAGCUGGAGUAUAUAGCAAUAUAUAGCACAAUAUAGUCUGUGGCAACAAUAAUUAUAGACCUCAAGUUCACACAUAAACACAUACUCCUUUGCUUGUAAGCACGGAAUACACAAGUACUACUCCUUGUGCCAUUGCAUACACUUCAGGAGUACAACAAACUGGAGUAGAAUACACAACAAGUACACACAGAUUACACAACAAACUGGAGUAGGAUCAGCGUCCAAGCAUCUCUAGUGCCAUUGCAUACACUUUAGGAGGAACUGAGAUCCUGGGCGGUAGCAGUUGUAGCCUUUCUAGCCUAUCCUUGUUCAUGUGCGGGAUUUUGUAUUUAUUGGCUCCACCAUUCUUCAUUACUUCAACCAUGCAAGUCUGCAGAGUUAUGAAUACUCUGUUAAGUUUUGAAACUUCAUAUCCAUCGAACUCCUCUUGAACACCUUUAAUCAGCUCUGGAAUAGUUUUCGGACUUUUGCAGUCUGUUAGCGACUGAAUCGAGCUGAAGAACCCAAGGUCCAGGGCGUUCAUGUCCGGAGAAUUUGGAGGCUGAUACAUUAUUCUGAUGUCCAGGCCACUUUCGUCCACAGCUUCUAUGAAUUCUUGAUCAUUAGGUAGGAUAUGUGUUCUCGCGUUAUCUUGCUGGAUAAAAAUGGGUUGUCCAUCAUUAUCUGCAGGCCACAAUGCUUGAAUCGCUGGCACAACCUUCUGUAUAAUGUACUCUCUCAUCACAACCCUCGUCACUAUGACAGGCUUUGUUUCCAAUGUCCCUUUUUCCCUUAUCUUGCUUUUUUUGCUGCUGCAGUCACUCUCACGAAUGGCCAUACCCCAAUUUUUCCGGAGAAUGUCAUGUUCCCAUCUUCAUCAAACCGUGGUCUUGCUACCGCUAUGAGAAAUAUCACUUUUCCAAUAGAGUUUUUGGCAGGUCUUUCCGGGUCCUCUUUGUCAGGCAGCGGAUAGUAGUUCCUCUUUCUCUUGGUCAUGGAGAACCAUUUUUCGUCGAUGUGAACAAUAUUAUGCAUACUCCUGAAACUUGGGCUUACAUCUCCUAAUGUUGCCUCAUCUAUCAUAGAGAGGCAAAAAUCCACCCUAUCUCUCUUAUUUUUCUCUGUUAGUACCGGCUUUACCCUGUUGGAGUGUCUCCUUAUCUUAUUCAACUUGAACUUCUUGUAUAGUGUAGUAGGGCUUACACCUAGUGCCUUGGCUAGAGAUCGAAUAGUUGACCUCUUGUUUAAGGGAAUUGUCGUAAUGAGAGAUAGGAUAUCAUCAUAAGAUUUUCUUCCACAAUUUUCCUUUCUUUUGUUUGAAACAUCCACCUCCUGACCAAGGCCUUUCUGUUUCAUUGCCGUCUCCCAUAUUCUUUGAAUAACUCGAACAUGUGAUCCAAAUAUUGCAGCCACGUCCUUCUUAUCAGUUCUCUUGAACUUGCCUCCUCUACUCUUAUGGAGGAUUUCCAAGGACAUGUAAGCGGCAUAUCUCUGCGCAUCAGUGAGCCAAUUCCUUUGCCUUUGUAUUCCUACAAUAGCAAUAGAAUAAUUAAAUUAAUUAUUGCAAGAAUAUUACAAAUUGGUUGCUGGAAAUGUAAGCAAGAGGUCAACAAUAGCAACAGCAAUUCCAUAGGAUAGGAGUAUUGCUUGCUUUGCUUGCUGUAAAUAUAAACAUAAAUGUUGCUUGCUGAAAAUAUAAAUGUAAACUAAACUUGUAAAUAUAAACUAAAGUGUUCAGUUCCGUAUACCUCAAAACUUGUAAAUAUAAAUAGAUUAUAAACUAAGCUAAACUUGCAGCAAUUUCUUUUCCAUUGUAGCUGUCAGGGUAUAUGCUAAUUUUGAGGGUAAAUAUGUUCAAGAGAAACUGGUCAGAUAGGCUUUGUUCCUGCUGAACUGAAUUGUCUAUAUGUGAAUGUAACCUGGUAAGGGGACAUUUUGGCCUGAAAAUAGAUAUUUGGAGCUAUGCUCUUGGCAUGGUUCUGAACUGAAACUUAUGUAGCCAUUUUUGUUUUAACGCAUGAGUGUCAUGCACCCUUCUUUGAUAGCUUGGGCAAGGCAUUUCAAAUAAUUGGAGAUAGGGGUCCCAUGAACACGUAUCAGCAGUAGGUGGGCACCGCUCUCCGCACCAUGGUUGGACAGCUACAUAUUUUUCAGAGAGUAGAAGCAGGCUGAUCCAGCAUGCAGAAAGUAAUAGGAGAACAUGUAUAGAUCAAGCAAAUCAUCUAUUGGUACUCCCAGCUGGCCAGCCGGAGCCAAGGAGCUUUGCUCAGUCCUACUGGCGAUGACAUGCAAAGGCUGGAUUUCCUCUUAUAAAAAACUAAACUUGUAAAAGGUAAAUAUGCCGCCAGGUUAUAUUCCGGAGCCACGGAGCCACGGACAUUGCAAUUUCUUUUCCAUUCGUAGCUGUCAGGGUAAAUAUGCCGCCAAGAGUAAAUAUAAACUUGUAAAUAUAAACAUGAGCUGUAAAUAUUUUGAGGUACACCGCUGUUCUUGCAGCAAUUUCUUUUCCAUUCGUAGCUGUCAGGGUAUAUGCCUAUUUACACACACAUACAUGUUGUCAGAGUAUAUGUUUAUUUACACACACAUACAUGGAGUUUGUUCGGUUUGCCUAUAAGCAAAUGAGACAAAAACUGAAAAUGUCCCUACAAUUAAUGUCCAGGAGACCUCUGUUGCUUGUUGAAAAUGUAAAUGUUGCUUGUUGAAUAACCUGUGAACAAAAUGAAGCUUCCUCAUAUGCACUAUUCAAUCUUAGCAUUCCCUUCUCUGUUACUUCUGAGGCAUAAUUUGAUGCAAGAUUAGAAGAAAUUAUACCUGAAUUUUGACCAGCAUUGUUGCUUUCUUCUUCAGGUUCUUCGUUGCCUUCUUCAGGUGGAGUGAAAUUGAGAUCUGGGACUACCAGGCUUGAAAUUGGGCCAACGAGCUGCUGCUGUUGAUGUUGAGGAUCUGCUUCUUCCUUGCUGUUGAAGAUCUGCUAAUGUUGUUGGUGAGGAGCUGGACCAUCAAAGGU